ensembl:lincRNA
CUGUCCAUAUCUGCUGUUGCGCUUUGCUAGCCACGGUGUCUGAAACAUGUCUGCAAAUUCUUUGGUUCGCCUCCUGUCACAGGGUGGGGCCUAGGUCUCCUCCCUUUGGCCCUUGUGACUUCCUUGAUGAAUGGGAUGUGGCAGAAGUGACACUGAAUGACUUCCCGUGCUUCUGAGGGGGUCACAUAAACAUAAGAAGCCACCUCCAGCUGUGAGUGGACAGACUAUGCAGGAACACCAGAGAGGCAUUUGGGGAUUCCAGCUUCUCAGCUGCACCAUAUUUUCUUUCGUGAAUGUACUGCUGUUGGAAAAGCGAACUGCCUUGUUUUCCCUCUGCUCUCACAAUCAACACAAGACUUCUGUGACCUCCAAAUGUGUGGGGGUUUGGCCACCAGCAAGCAGGCAGCAAGCAGCAAGCAGCAAGCAGCAAGCAGCAAGCAGCAAGAAGCAAGCAAUUCUGCAGUAACAGAUUCCAGCUGAGUGUUCUCUAGUUCAAUUCUGAAACCACCUCCCUGGACCUAGCACCAGUCCCACUGCCGGGACAGUCAUUCCCCAAGACCGCCCCACCCUCUGUAAUCCCCAGUGUCUUAGUCUCUUUAUUGCUAAGACAUGACACGUGACAUCCACAACUUGAAGGAGAGGUUUAUUUCGGCUCAUGUUUCAUUCUAUGCUUGGCCAGCUCCAAAGAGGAAACAGCAUCGCUGAGGGGCAUGGUGGAGGAUAAGCUGCUCACUUCAUGGCAUCCAGGAAGCAGAGUGCAAAGUGGAGCCAAGACAGGAGGCGCACCCUUCUAGGUCUUCUGGGGACUGGUCUCUUUCAAACAGACCCUACCUUGUAACAGCAAGCCAGCUAUAGUGCCCCACAAUCCAAUCACCUUCAAAAACUCCACCUUUGAGUGUGAGAGGCUCUUGGGAGACAUCUAAAUAUAAACCGUAACCCCCAUGUAGUUUUUUCUAAGAUUCUGAUGGGCCACCUGUAAAUUAGGAUUUCUACAAUACCCUCUUCAGGGUUUACUGAUUGGCUGGAGUGGCCCACAGAAUCAAGGGCACUACACAGGGCACCACAGGGAUACAGGUGAAGAG